rnacentral:ncRNA from 1 species
GUGAGCCGUAUACAUUGAGAGGUGUAAGUACGGUUCUGGGGGAGAGUUCAAGGAAACCUACUACAGUAAUGUAGUAAGGCGUCGGGUUCUUAUCCUAU